rnacentral:rRNA from 1 species
GCAAGUCGCGGGGUAACAUUGGACUUCGGUUCAGAUGACGACCGGCGCACGGGUGAGUAACGCGUACACGACCUACCUUUUACUGGAGGAUAGCCCUUGGAAACUGGGAUUAAUACUGCAUAAUAUUAUGAUUAAUAAAGGUUCAUAAUCAAAGCUACGGCGGUUAAAGAUGAGUGUGCGUUCCAUUAGCGAGUUGGUGUGGUAAAGGCGCACCAAGGCGACGAUGAUAGGGGGGGUGAGAGCGUGAUC